UGGGGAAUUUUUGGACAAUGGGCGAAAGCCUGAUGCAGCGACGCCGCGUGAGGGAUGACGGCCUUCGGGUUGUAAACCUCUUUCAAUAGGGACGAAGCGCAAGUGACGGUACCUAUAGAAGAAGGACCGGCCAACUACGUGCCAGCAGCCGCGGUAAUACGUAGGGUCCGAGCGUUGUCCGGAAUUACUGGGCGUAAAGAGCUCGUAGGUGGUUUGUCGCGUUGUUCGUGAAAACUCACAGCUUAACUGUGGGCGUGCGGGCGAUACGGGCAGACUAGAGUACUGCAGGGGAGACUGGAAUUCCUGGUGUAGCGGUGGAAUGCGCAGAUAUCAGGAGGAACACCGGUGGCGAAGGCGGGUCUCUGGGCAGUAACUGACGCUGAGGAGCGAAAGCGUGGGGAGCGAACAGGAUUAGAUACCCUGGUAGUCCACGCCGUAAACGGUGGGUACUAGGUGUGGGUUUCCUUCCUUGGGAUCCGUGCCGUAGCUAACGCAUUAAGUACCCCGCCUGGGGAGUACGGCCGCAAGGCUAAAACUCAAAGGAAUUGAC
rnacentral:rRNA from 1 species